GAUGAACGCUGGCGGCGUGCCUAAUACAUGCAAGUCGAGCGAACGGACGAGAAGCUUGCUGCUCUGAGGUUAGCGGCGGACGGGGGAGUAACACGUGAAUAACCUACCUAUAAGACUGGGAUAACUUCGGGAAACCGGAGCUAAUACCGGAUAAUAUUUUGAACCGCAGGGUUCAAAAGUGAAAGACGGUCUUGCUGUCAGUUAUAGAUGGAUCCGCGCUGGAUUAGCUAGUUGGUAAGGUAACGGCUUACCAAGGCAACGAUGCAUAGCCGACCUGAGAGGGUGAUCGGCCACACUGGAACUGAGACACGGUCCAGACUCCUACGGGAGGCAGCAGUAGGGAAUCUUCCGCAAUGGGCGAAAGCCUGACGGAGCAACGCCGCGUGAGUGAUGAAGGUCUUCGGAUCGUAAAACUCUGUUAUUAGGGAAGAACAUAUGUGUAAGUAACUGUGCACAUCUUGACGGUACCUAAUCAAAAAGCCACGGCUAACUACGUG
rnacentral:rRNA from 1 species